CAGCACAAAACCAGGAUACACCACUGAGUACACCUAUUUAUACCUUAGGUGUCUUCAUUUUAGGGUCACCGUACUUCAUUUAUGAAAAAGUAACUUUUUUUUACUUUUAUUCACUUUAGGACCUCCCUUAACGUGGCAAAACUACAAGGCCAUAACUAAAGGGUGUAUACAUCAUGGACAUUUUCCUGACUUAGGUCAGGAUGGCAUCUUAAAGUCUGAACAUCUUUAUCUACUUUGGGUUACCACAGUAUAUUGUGUACUGCAAGAGUCGUAGCAUAGCCUUGAAGCUUGUUUAUGCAUUAUUCUUAUUGUAUUUUAUCUGGGACAAAAUGGCGUAAACAUAUUAUGCACUGAAGGUUAUUUUUUAAAGAAACAUGUAUGAAAAACAAUAAGUUCCAUUUCUAACACCUUCUCGGUUUGCAAUAUCUCUUAAAGACAAAGUACACAGUUUAAGAAAUACAUUUUAAUCUAAAACUUGUAAUAUUUGAAUUUGCUCAUAACAAGUGUCAACAAGUGUCCGGUUGUGAUCAAGGCACAGGCUUUGUUUUCCAGCUUAGGGAUUCCACUUUCACUAGACAAAACUGCAGGACCCACCACUUGCCUGGUAUUUCUGGGUAUACAGUUAGACACAGUCCUCUUAGAGGCUAGACUCCCUGCGGACAAGCUCCUGAGAAUCAAAAAUGACGUGUAUGAAUUCAUGAGGAUCGGAGCUUGUUCACGGAAAGAACUUUUAACUUUGCCAUGCGGAUCAUCCCGCAGGGUCGAUAAUUUUUCUAGAUUAUUGUGCAUCCUACUUGGUGCCCUGGAUAGCCUCAGCAAGAUUACCCUGGAUGUAAACACCAGAGCCAAUUUAGUCAUAUGGCAGCAGUUCCUAGAUAAUUGGAAUGGCAGAUCUGUUUGUUCCCCCAUUGUCCGAUGAUUCCCCAGUUAUUUGGACCGAUGCGGCUGCACACACAGGCUUCGCUACCAUUUUUGGUGACAGAUGAUUAAAAGACGUAUGGCCUGCGGAGGCCAUUAACUUACCAGCUUUUCAGGAAGACUUCCGCUCUCUUUAAAAUCUAUCCUAUCGUUGCAGCCGCAUUAACGGGGGGAACACUAUGGCAAGAAUUACUACUUGAUCCUGCAUGUAGAACUAUAUUACACUUAGUACUAAAAGGUAACGUCUUACCGGGCCUUAGAAUGGCCAGACUUAACGUACCAGAGAAUAGUCAGAAUACUUGCCAAGGUCGGGGACACAGAAUGAGACACAACGAUGAAGGAAAGCCAAAAGUCAGAGAUACCAGAAUACAGGGAAGUCAAACAAAACCAAAGUCAAUAACCAGAAAUAAAUGAUGACAGAGCUAUGACACUGUUCACUAGAUUCACCCACUGUUUUCUUUCCCCCAUCCCACACUCAGUUUUCUCCCC